rnacentral:rRNA from 1 species
CAUGGCAGUCGAACGCGAAAGAGUUCUUCGGAACUUGAGUAGAGUGGCGCACGGGUGAGUAACGCGUAAGUGAUCUACCCCUGUAUCUGGAAUAACCAUGGGAAACUGUGGCUAAUACCGGAUACGUUCAUGUGAUUGCGGUCAUGUGAAGAAAGAUGGCCUCUGACAUAAGCUAUCGUACAGGGAGGAGCUUGCGUACCAUUAGCUAGUUGGCAGGGUAAAGGCCUACCAAGGCGACGAUGGUUAGCGGGUCUGAGAGGAUGAUCCGCCACACUGGAACUGAAGCACGGACCAGACUCCUACGGGAGGCAGCAGUGAGGAAUAUUGCGCAAUGGGGGCAACCCUGACGCAGCGACGCCGCGUGGAUGAUGAAGGCCUUCGGGUCGUAAAAUCCUGUCGGAUGGGAAGAAGUGUAAUGUGGUUAAUACCCAUGUUAUUUGACGGUACCAUCAAAGGAAGCACCGGCUAACUCCGUGCCAGCAGCCGCGGUAAUACGGAGGGUGCAAGCGUUGUUCGGAAUUACUGGGCGUAAAGCGCGCGUAGGCGGUUUGUUAAGUCAGAUGUGAAAGCCCAGGGCUUAACCCUGGACGUGCAUUUGAAACUGUCAGACUUGAGUAUUGGAGGGGGUGGUGGAAUUCCCGGUGUAGAGGUGAAAUUCGUAGAUAUCGGGAGGAAUACCGGUGGCGAAGGCGACCACCUGGCCAAAUACUGACGCUGAGGUGCGAAGGCGUGGGGAGCAAACAGGAUUAGAUACCCUGGUAGUCCACGCGGUAAACGAUGAGAACUAGGUGUUGGGACGGUUGAUCGUCUCAUUGCCGCAGCUAACGCAUUAAGUUCUCCGCCU